CAGCUAACAUGCAACUGCUCUC
rnacentral:miRNA from 1 species